CUUUCUUCCAUCCUAACACUCUCCAAAGCCUCCCAAACAAUUCCUCCAAGUCUCCAAACAAAUUUGAAAAAACAAAUACACCAUAAUCCAACAUCAAUGUAAGCCAAAGAUGAGGAAUAACCCCUCUGUAAUGUUGUGAUAUGAUAAGGAUGAUACUGAACUAAGUUAAGCUUAGGGUUCGAAUUUAUCUACUAAGGUAUUUUAACAAAAAAUUGAUGGUGCUUAAGGUCAAUUACAUGUUGGUUGCGGUGUUGAAGUGGAAGAUUACAAGAUAGCACUUGAAAGAGGAAUAAAUGUUGUUAUUUGUUCGAAUAUAUAUAUAUAUAUA
rnacentral:lncRNA from 1 species